GACGAACGCUGGCGGCGUGCUUAACACAUGCAAGUCGAACGAUGAAGCCGGAGCUUGCUCUGGUGAAUUAGUGGCGAACGGGUGAGUAACACGUGAGUAACCUGCCUUUGACUCUGGGAUAACUGCGGGAAACUGUAGCUAAUACCGGAUACGACCCUCGGAGGCACAUCCUGGGGGUGGAAAGAAUGUCGGUCAAGGAUGGACUCGCGGCCUAUCAGCUAGUUGGUGAGGUAAAGGCUCACCAAGGCGACGACGGGUAGCCGGCCUGAGAGGGUGACCGGCCACACUGGGACUGAGACACGGCCCAGACUCCUACGGGAGGCAGCAGUGGGGAAUAUUGCACAAUGGGCGCAAGCCUAAUGCAGCAACGCCGCGUGAGGGAUGACGGCCUUCGGGUUGUAAACCUCUUUUAGCAGGGAAGAAGCGAAAGUGACGGUACCUGCAGAAAAAGCACCGGCUAACUACGUGCCAGCAGCCGCCGUAA
rnacentral:rRNA from 1 species